AGGGUUGUAGCUCAGUGGUGGAGUGCUUGCCUCGUAAGCAUGGGAUACUGUGUUCAAUGCUCAGCACCACAU
rnacentral:tRNA from 1 species